rnacentral:rRNA from 1 species
GACGAACGCUGGCGGCGUGCUUAAUACAUGCAAGUCAACUGAACUUGAGGUAGUAAUAUUUCAAGGGAGGUGGCGCACGGGUGAGUAACACGUAGGUAAUCUGCCUUUAGGUCUGACAUAAUCCAGCGAAAGCUGGACUAAAAUCAGAUGAUGCAGCGGCUCGACAUCGAGACAGUUGUUAAACCUUCGGGGCCUAAAGAUGAGCCUGCGUCNGAUUAGGUAGUUGGCGGAGUAAGAGCCCACCAAGCCUUCGAUCAGUAGCUGGUCUGAGAGGAUGAUCAGCCACACUGGAACUGAGACACGGUCCAGACUCCUACGGGAGGCAGCAGUAAGGAAUAUUGCUCAAUGGCCGAAAGGCU